CGCCUGUUUAACAAAAACAUCUCUUUUUAUGUUAAAAAAAGUAGGCCCUGUUCAAUGAAAAUUAAAUAACCGCAGUAUUUAAUUGUGCAAAGGUAGCGUAAUAAUUUUUUCUUUAAUUGAGAGGUGGUAUGAAAGGGUUGACAAAGUGUUAACUGUGUUGGCGCGGAGAUUAGAAUUUUGAGAGGGAGUGAAAAUACUUUCUGGAAUUAAAGGGACGACAAGACCCUAUGAAACUUUGGAACUAUUUGUGAUAAAAACAAAGGGUUCGUUUAACUGGGGCGGUUAGUAAUUUAAACAUUUCGGUUGAGCACAUUUUGGGUGGAUUUUAUGAUCUUGUGUUAGAUAAAAGAUAAGUUACUCUAGGGAUAACAGCGUAAUUAAACCUAAGAGUUCUUAUCGAAGGUUUAGUUGCGACCUCGAUGUUGAAUUAAGUGUACUAUUUGGAGUAGAAGAUGAAAUAAGUAAGUUUGUUCAACUUUUAAUUGCUUACAUGAUCUGAGUUCAGACCGG
rnacentral:rRNA from 1 species